rnacentral:tRNA from 8 species
GCCGGCGUGGCGGAAUUGGCAGACGCGCUGGAUUCAAAAUCCAGUUCCCUCGCGGGAGUAUCGGUUCGACCCCGAUCGCCGGUA